rnacentral:rRNA from 1 species
AGAGUUUGAUCCUGGCUCAGGACGAACGCUGGCGGCGUGCCUAAUGCAUGCAAGUCGCACGCGCCACCUUCGGGUGGUGAGUGGCGCACGGCUGAGGAUCACGUGGGAACAUGCCUCCUUGUGGGGGACAACAGCGCGAAAGCGAUGCUAAUCCCGCAUACGCUCGGCAACGAGGAAAGCUUUCACAAGCGCAGGGAGAGUGGCCCGCGGCCCAUCAGGUCGUUGGUGGGGUAAUGGCCUACCAAGCCGAUGACGGGUAGCUGGUCUGUGAGGGCAGACAGCCAGACUGGGACUGAGACACGGCCCAGACUCCUACGGGAGGCAGCAGCAAGGAAUUUUCGUCAAUGGGCGCAAGCCUGAACGAGCAACGCCGCGUGGAGGAUGACGGCCUUCGGGUUGUAAACUCCUUUUUCGGGGGACGAUAAUGACGGUACCCCGGGAAUAAGGCUCGGCUAACUCUGUGCCAGCCGCCGCGGUAAUAC